ACACGCAUGACACACUGCAUAUCAAUAAGCGGAGGAAAAGAAACUAACAAGGAUUCCCCUAGUAACGGCGAGUGAAGCGGGAAGAGCUCAAAUUUGAAAUCUUCAAGGGUUUCCCUUGACGAAUUGUAGUUUAAAGAAGUGUUUUCUGUUAGAGAGGUGGUAAAAGUUCUUUGGAAUAGGACAUCAUAGAGGGUGAGAAUCCCGUAUUUGACUAUUCUUUCUACUAACGUUGUGAUACACUUUCAAAGAGUCGGAUUGUUUGGGAAUGCAGUCCAAAAUGGGUGGUAAAUUUCAUCUAAGGCUAAAUAUUGGCGAGAGACCGAUAGCGAACAAGUACCGUGAGGGAAAGAUGAAAAGAACUUUGAAAAGAGAGUUAAACAGUACGUGAAAUUGUCAAAAGGGAAGCGUUUGACACCAGUGUUGUUUUCUCGAAAAUCAAUUAAAAAUGCCGGAUUUUGUGUUGUAUUGACCUUAUAAGCUUUCUUCGCUCUUUUUCUUAUCUUUUUUAAUGCACUUUUCGUUUAACAAGUCAACAUCAAUUUCUUUUGUUGUAAAAGAGUCAUUGGAAGGUGGCUUUUCUUUCGGAGAAAGUGUUUAUAGCCUUGUGCCUCUGCAAUCGGAGAGAUUGAGGUCUGCAGCGUAGAUCCUUCGGGGUUAGAUACAUUUGUGCUAAGUUAUAGCUUUUCAUAGACAACUUGUUGACUAUGUUUAGUCUUGUAGCUUACUCGCUUAUGCUAUUUUACCUACGCUUAGGAUGUUGACUGAUAUGUAGUCGUA
rnacentral:rRNA from 1 species